rnacentral:rRNA from 1 species
GAUGAACGCUAGCUACAGGCUUAACACAUGCAAGUCGAGGGGCAGCAUGGUCUUAGCUUGCUAAGGCCGAUGGCGACCGGCGCACGGGUGAGUAACACGUAUCCAACCUGCCGUCUACUCUUGGACAGCCUUCUGAAAGGAAGAUUAAUACAAGAUGGCAUCAUGAGUUCACAUGUUCACAUGAUUAAAGGUAUUCCGGUAGACGAUGGGGAUGCGUUCCAUUAGAUAGUAGGCGGGGUAACGGCCCACCUAGUCUUCGAUGGAUAGGGGUUCUGAGAGGAAGGUCCCCCCACAUUGGAACUGAGACACGGUCCAAACUCCUACGGGAGGCAGCAGUGAGGAAUAUUGGUCAAUGGGCGAGAGCCUGAACCAGCCAAGUAGCGUGAAGGAUGACUGCCCUAUGGGUUGUAAACUUCUUUUAUAAAGGAUAAAGUCGGGUAUGCAUACCCGUUUGCAUGUACUUUAUGAAUAAGGAUCGGCUAACUCCGUG